rnacentral:rRNA from 1 species
UACGUAGGGGACGAGCGUUGUCCGGAAUUAUUGGGCGUAAAGAGCGUGUAGGCGGCCAGACAGGUCCGUUGUGAAAACUAGAGGCUUAACCUCUAGACGUCGAUGGAAACCGUCUGGCUAGAGUCCGGAAGAGGAGAAUGGAAUUCCUGGUGUAGCGGUGAAAUGCGCAGAUAUCAGGAAGAACACCCGUGGCUAAGGCGGUUCUCUAGUACGGUACUGACGCUGAGACGCGAAAGCGUGGGGAGCGAACAGG